AUUUUUAAUUUUCAAAGUUAUACGGGGAUACAGAAGAAAAGGAGGGGAUGAGGGGUACAGUAUUGCAACAGAGACACACAUCACGUUUAGCAUACAGUAUAGAGCAUUUAUCAUCAGUCUAUUCCUGCAAUGUAUACCCUUUUGGCUGUAGUCGUAAGUGUUAGGAAGACUUCUGUUUCCUUUCUAAAUAUCCUUCUGUGUUUCUAUACUAAUGCCAUCUGAGGUGGGGGUGGGGGUGGGAGGUGGUGGGGGGGGGACAAGUUUGGACAAGUUUUAUAUCAAUUAAAUAGUGUGUUGAUAGUUUUGUUUUUACAUUUGCAUUCUAGCCUUCAUUAAUCUAGAAGAGUCUAACUACUCAUGUCAAGGUCAGUCUGUGGAAAUGCAGAAUAUCAUCAAUUUGUCUGAUGGAAAUUCAUCCAACGAAAAGAUCUCAGAAGACAUUAAAUCAUAACUGUAUGUAGAAGAUGUUCAUGCCAAUAAAAAUCAACCUUUG